UUAAGGUCUGGGAGUGACCAACCUUGUUCCUUUGUUUGAGACCAUGCGGACCUGCACCAGAUGCAGAUGCUUUUGUCAACAGGAUGCAUAGAUUAUGAAGAUGUGUGAGUUUUAUUUGGGAAUUAAAACAUUCCUUCUGCCUCCUACAUCCUCGUGCACUAACCUGCUCCAAUCACACGGAUGAGAAUGAUGACUUACCUGGAUGAUAGCUUUUUGGAAACAAGGAGAGGAAUCUAUCAGACAAACAUGGACAGUGCAAGAUAGAUCAUGCAAAGACUUUAUGAAAUAAUGAAAGUUCAUUAUACCCUCCAGUAUCUUUCAUUUGGUAUCAUAUGCACAUGAGCGGCUGUUGACAAAACUCUUAAUCAAUGAAGAAAAGACAAAAUACACAAACAAUUGACAUUCAGAAUCAGAAUCUGCA